rnacentral:rRNA from 1 species
UUAAGUAUCCCGCCUGGGAAGUACGGCCGCAAGGCUAAAACUCAAAGGAAUAGACGGGGAUUCACACAAGCGGUGGACCAUGUGGCUUAAUUCGACAACAAACGAGGAACCUUACCAGGGCUUGACAUUCUAGUGAAAAUCUUGGGAAACCAAGACCCUCUCACAAGGACACUAGUUCAGGUGCUGCAUGGUUGUCGUCAGCAUGUAUCUUGAGACGCACGCUUAAAUGCGGUAACAUGCGCAACCCUUAUCGUUUGUUUUAUUUGUCAAACGAAACUGCCUGGGACAACCAGGAGGAAGGUGAGGAUGACGCCAAAUCAGCACGGCCCUUUGAUGCCCUGGGCCGCACACGUGGUACAAUGGGGCUGACAAUGGGAUGCAAAGCGGUAACGCGGAGCUAAUCUCAUCAAACGGUCUCUCAGUUCGGUUUGAGGUCUGAAACCCGACCUCAUGAAGCUGGAAUCGCUAGUAAUCGCCAAUCAGCUAUGUGGCGAUGAAUACGUUCCUGAAUCUUGUACUCAC